rnacentral:ncRNA from 2 species
AAAUUAAGAGUGUGGAACGGCCGCCUGUAUGGGUGAUAAUAGGGAAUCCGGUGUGAGUCCGGAACAGUCAUCUCUGCUGUAACGUGGACGCGGAAACAAGAUGCCAUUGGAUAGAUUUAUCUGAGAAGGCGUUUCCAAGGAUGAAGCGAAGUCAGAAUACCUACCGUAGAAAGACGAUUCCU